ACGCUGACCUAACAACGCACACACAGUCGGCCGGCCAAACACACACAAACACACAUGUGAGCAGGAGGUGUUGUUGUCUGGGCGUCUCUACGCUCCAUCUGUUGUCCAGUCAGGAGGUGAACUUGAGGAAGGGGCGAGGGGUUGAGGCCCCCACCUCAACUUCCAAUGACGUUCAGUUCCAAAAAGAGGAGAUGUAGAGUGUGAAUGUGCGUGUGUGUGUGUGUGUGUGUGUGUGUGUGCGAUGGCUAAGAUGAAAACACUCAGAACUGGUUUCUAACCCAAGGCCAGUUGUGACUUUGUCAGAGCUUUGACCUACUUCCUACUUUCCUGAACAGGUGGCGUGGAGCUCUGUUUCUCAUAUGCUGUACAUCUCAUCCCACCUUGUUGUCAUUUAAAAUAUUUAUAGAACAACAUUUAUAGAAAAAUGAGAAUCAAGUACACGUGGACUCCAAGAAGACAAACUUACCCUGAGGCUUCAUUAGAGGCUAAGACUCUCCUCCAACCGCCGCCGUUUUCCUCCAACCAGCCAGAUCUCCACCCUCUCAGAGUCUCCUCUCUCUGCAGCCUCCCUCGCCCAUGUCGUCACAUCUCACCUCCCCACCUUGUCUCCUUCCCAUUAACUUUGGAGCAGAUGGCAGGGCCCUGCUCUCUCUGUUGACAGCUGUGGUGAGCAGGAGGGAGUCUUCAGCUGCUGAUGACAGGCCAAAACCUUCACAUCACCAUGAAAGUGUUUCGGCUCAAUGUCACAUCUUCAGCGUUGGGACAAAGUCCUCGCUGCCAUUAUCACUGGACAUCUGAAUUAUCACUGGACAUCUGAGAAACACCACUCCGUUUUGGUGCAAGGCCUUCAAGAACAGAUGCAGACGACACUGAGACGUAGGUCUCUGUCCUACUGCAGACGGUAAAGUGGUGGUGUAAAUAGAGCGUCAGGAUGGAGAGGAAAUGAACGAAGAUCCAUCUUCAACGCACUGCAGAGAAACAGCUGUUUCAGGUCACAGCCAAAGAUAAGCCACUUUAUUUCCACUCUCCCUCUCUCUCUGUCCCUUUCUCUUUCAGUAUCUCUCUCACACACAUUUGACCGUCUGACUUUAAUCAAUCUUGCGCUGCAUCUGUUCCUCUCUUCUCUCUCUAUCUCCCUCUCUGAUCUGUGGCUCUGAUGCUAAAGUGCUUAUUGCGCUCAUGCAUGCUCUCUUAACCUUCACAGUCCUACAAUGCUGGGGAACAGAUGAGACACGAUGACGAAGCUUAAAAUUUCUUACUUCCAUAAAAGAUGUUCCUAACAUCUGGGCACUGAUCCAGAACUAUUAAUUAAAAUGACCUCAGAAUUAUGUGUUUGUCUGGAAACCCUGGAGGGUAUUUGGUAAAAGGCAGAAAAGUGGGGUGGAUGCAGUAGCUGUAAAUAGAAGUAGGCAAGCUCAGGCGCUGAGGUGAUACCUCGAGUUUUAGUCAUAGGAGUGAGGUCAAAUCUCCCACAUCUGACUUUAAUGCUGAACUGAUUAUUAAAUAAACAGAAUGACUACAUAAAUGGAGGCAGUCAAUCUUCAUCAUUAUUGAAGAAAACAGUACACAUUUACAAUAACGUUAUAUUAGUCCACACUUCUGCGGUCUCAUCACAAAGUCAUUGUACAUGUAGUUAAAAUACACAUAAAAAUUAACUUACCUUUCUGUGGCACCACCUGGCACCACUGUCAUCUACUUUUCUGCCUCUCCAGACUUUUAUAUACAAUGAAGUUGUCUCUAGACUACAUUUAAAAAAAACCCAAAAUACCAACACAAAUGAAAGAAAGUAAAUGUAGCACAAUCCGAUGUAUGGUACACAACCAGCCAACGUAAACAAAGGCGCCUUCUGUGUAUAGUGCUGCGUGACCACAUAUUUGUCGCUUUUACUUCACUACUACUAGUUCCCGUGUGAACACUACGUCGGAAUGAUGGAACAGGAUUUGCCUAAUACAUUUAUGGGAGAUAAAGCGACAUAACCACAACAUGCUACAGGUCGAGGAAUCCAUAGGCAGAAGAUCCCGUACUCAAUUGUUUUCAACUGCUACAGUAAAGUGUUAAAACAGACCUAGUGCAGCCUGAACUGAUUUAAAACUUAAACUCACACAUUUCCUGUUGUACCUGAGGGUAACUUCAUCUUUUCCAAAGUUAAUUAUUGGAGGGACAUUAUGUCGUAGCUGAGAUACACUUGAUGCAGUAAUAUCUGUCUUGCUGCAGUGAAUCCCUCCUGUCUCACUGAUAAGGCCUUGAGUCUGUACAAGUGCUGGAUUACACUAUGGAGACUCAGGGCAACACAGACUCUGUGUUAGUGUGUGUGCAUUGACUGUGGAGACCUCUGGACAGCUUAUUCGCCGCAGACAGAUAGCAGCAGAAUUCUUAUCUUGCACACUUCCUCUGAUAGUGUAUUGAUGGGACAAUCUGCCUCAGACUGCUGAAUUCAGGAACAAAGGCUGUGAUAAGUGCAGUAGAAGAGGAGAGUCCUGAAGACUGAAGGGGAUUAAAGUCAUUAACUUGAACACAAAAUGAAACACUCACUGUCUUUGUUUUUUAAAUGGUAAUAUUAAAGUUGGAAUUAAAAAGACACAAGGCUGCAGCUGAGGGGUUACAGUUUAAGAGAUGGUCAGUUUGUUUGGUCUGUUCAGUGGUGUCUUCAAAUGGAACAGAUGUUAGAAGUGCCCGGAACAGUGGAGAGCAGUGAUGAAUCUGGGAAUGUUUGGAAAAGAGGAAAAUGGGACAACAAAACAAACUAGAUUAUGUUGUUACAUUUUGACUAAAAUCAGUUUAACAAACAGUAUAAACAUUAGACUUGGCCUUUGGAUGUUGGUCCCAAGGACCAAACUGGUCCCUCUCUCUCUCUCUUUUUUUUUUUUUUGAGACAUUUUAUUUUGAAAAUCAUGCAUGCUGAGAUUUUGG